GUCAGAUCGAUGAUGUGAAUUACAAAACUGCGUUAUCUAUCUUAAAAAUCUCCGAAAUAGGAGUUGCAGAUACUAAACGAAUACUCUGAGAUCUGAU